GUGGGGAAUAUUGCACAAUGGGCGAAAGCCUGAUGCAGCGACGCCGCGUGAGGGAUGACGGCCUUCGGGUUGUAAACCUCUUUCAGCAGGGAAGAAGCGCAAGUGACGGUACCUGCAGAAGAAGCGCCGGCUAACUACGUGCCAGCAGCCGCGGUAAUACGUAGGGCGCAAGCGUUGUCCGGAAUUAUUGGGCGUAAAGAGCUCGUAGGCGGUUUGUCGCGUCUGCUGUGAAAACGCGGGGCUCAACCUCGCGCCUGCAGUGGGUACGGGCAGACUAGAGUGUGGUAGGGGAGACUGGAAUUCCUGGUGUAGCGGUAAAAUGCGCAGAUAUCAGGAGGAACACCGGUGGCGAAGGCGGGUCUCUGGGCCAUCACUGACGCUGAGGAGCGAAAGCAUGGGUAGCGAACAGGAUUAGAUACCCCGGUAGUCC
rnacentral:rRNA from 1 species